AUUGAACGCUGGCGGCAAGCCUAACACAUGCAAGUCGAACGAGUGGCGGACGGGUGAGUAAUGUCUGGGAAACUUCCUGAUGGAGGGGGAUAACUACUGGAAACGGUAGCUAAUACCGCAUACCAUCGGAUGUGCCCAGAUGGGAUUAGGUGGUAGGUGGGGUAAAGGCUCACCUGGGCGACGAUCCCUCGCUGGUCUGAGAGGAUGACCAGCAAGACGGGAACUGAGACACGGAGCAGACUACUACGGGCGGCAGCAGUGGGGAAUAGUGCACAGUGGGCGGAAGCAUGAUGCAGCCAUGCCUGGUAUGAAGAAGGCCUUCGGGUUGUAAAGUACGUUCAGCGGGGAGGCGUUACCCGCAGAAGAAGCACCGGCUAACUCCGUGCCAGCAGCCGCGGUAAUAC
rnacentral:rRNA from 1 species